UGGGUAAUACUGUAUAAUCCCUGCGGGGGAAAGAUUUAUCGCUGCAUGAUGAGCCUAUGUUAGAUUAGCUAGUUGGUGGGGUAAUGGCCUACCAAGGCAGUGAUCUAUAGCUGGUCUGAGAGGAUGAUCAGCCACACUGGAACUGAGAUACGGUCCAGACUCCUACGGGAGGCAGCAGUGGGGAAUAUUGGACAAUGGGCGCAAGCCUGAUCCAGCUAUGCCGCGUGAGUGAGGAAGGCCUUAGGGUUGUAAAACUCUUUCAGUGGGGAAGAUAAUGACGGUACCCACAGAAGAAGUCCCGGCAAACUCCGUGCCAGCAGCCGCGGUAAUACGGAGGGGGCAAGCGUUGUUCGGAAUUAUUGGGCGUAAAGGGCAUGUAGGUGGUUUGGUUAGUUAAAGGUGAAAUGCCAGGGCUUAACCCUGGAGCUGCUUUUAAUACUGCCAGACUGGAGUCCGGGAGAGGAUAGCGGAAUUCCUAGUGUAGAGGUGAAAUUCGUAGAUAUUAGGAGGAACACCAGUGGCGAAGGCGGCUAUCUGGUCCGGUACUGACACUGAGGUGCGAAAGCGUUGGGAGCAAACAGGAUUAGAUACCCUGGUAGUCCACGCUGUAAACGAUGAGUGCUGAAUGUGGGGAUAUUUAUCUCCGUGUUGUAGCUAACGCGUUAAGCACUCCGCCUGGGGACUACGGUCGCAAGACUAAAACUCAAAGGAAUUGACGGGGACCCGCACAAGCGGUGGAGCAUGUGGUUUAAUUCGAUGCAACGCGAAAAACCUUACCACUCCUUGACAUGAAGAUUAGAUCCUCCUUAACGGGAGGGCGCAGUUUCGGCUGGGUCUUGCACAGGUGCUGCAUGGCUGUCGUCAGCUCGUGUCGUGAGAUG
rnacentral:rRNA from 1 species